CAUCACACAAAGCAGUGACCCUCCCACCUGCAGCUCUGCAUAUCAGCUAUAUGAGACUCUGCUAGUUUCUGUCUCACAGAACAUGGAUAUAAUCAUCCUUCAACGAGGCCUCCUCACACUGUCAGUCUUUGUGCUCUGGACUUCAGGUCUGACUGAUGGAAGUGAUGUCACCCAGACUGACACACUGUGGGAGAAACAGGGUGACAGUGCAACAAUACACUGCAAUCACACAAAGGGUGCUACCUAUUCCCAGAUGUACUGGUACAGACAGCUGCCAGGAGAAACUAUGAAACUAAUCGUGUUCACAAGAAGUGGCAAUGAAAAUCAUGAUUUUGGAGAUUUCGAUAAAGAUAAAUUUGCAGCCACCAAGCCCAACGCUGAGAGUGGGACAUUCACAGUGAAGAAUCUGGAGCCAGAAGAUAAAGGAUUGUAUUUCUGUGCUGGGGACCUCGAGGACCACAAACCAUCCAAGUUACACUUUGAUUCACCAUGUGGGUUUUGAUAAGGCAGCGAGCAGGAGCAGAGAACGUCACACACUGCAGAGACCCUCCUACAACUCUUCAUAUCUCUGUAACUACACCUACAGUUAUUAUGAUACAUGGACCUUUACAACAUGGACAUUAUCAAACUCCUCAGCUUGUUACUGUUUCUGCUCACGAAC